rnacentral:rRNA from 1 species
GUUACAGCAGCCGCGGUAAUACAGAGGUCCCAAGCGUUGUUCGGAUUCACUGGGCGUAAGGGGUGCGUAGGCGGUCGGGUAAGUCUGACGUGAAAUCUCCAAGCUCAACUUGGAAAUGGCGUCGGAUACUACUCGGCUUGAGGAGUGGAGGGGAGACUGGAAUUCUCGGUGUAGCAGUGAAAUGCGUAGAUAUCGAGAGGAACACCAGUGGCGAAGGCGAGUCUCUGGACACUUCCUGACGCUGAGGCACGAGAGCCAGGGGAGCAAACGGGAUUAGAAACCCUCGUAGUCC